rnacentral:rRNA from 1 species
UUUUGGGCAAUGGCCGCAAGGCUGACCCAGCGACGCCGCGUGCGGGAGGAAGCCUUUCGGGGUGUAAACCGCUGUCAGGGGGGACGAACCCUCAUACUUCGAACAGGGGUGUGAGCUGACGGUACCUCCAAAGGAAGCGCCGGCUAACUCCGUGCCAGCAGCCGCGGUAAGACGGAGGGCGCGAGCGUUGUUCGGAAUCACUGGGCGUAAAGCGCGCGCAGGCGGGACCAGCAAGUCGGAAGUGAAAUCCCGGGGCUCAACUCCGGGGCUGCUUCCGAGACUGCGGACCUGGGGACCGGUAGAGGCCGGUGGAAUUCCCGGUGUAGCGGUGGAAUGCGUAGAGAUCGGGAAGAACACCCGUGGCGAAGGCGGCCGGCUGGGCCGGAUCCGACGCUGAGGCGCGAAAGCGUGGGGAGCAAACAGG